CCAACGGGUGUUCUUAUUACUGUUAUUGUUUUAUUUAUUCAUUUUAUGUUCUCAUCUAAACUCACAUGUUCCUAAUCUAUAUAUUUUGACAUUCUCUCUCCUCAAAACCCUAACCUCAACCCACAAAUUAAAAUCCUCAUCUUCUCGCUCAUCCGAAUCCGCCGACUAUCUUCCAUUUACUUUUCAAGCUAUAAAAAUUUCCACUCAUUGUUGAAGCGACUCCUACCAUCUCCAUAAGAAAAUCAUGCUCUAAGAAUUCAAACCUGAAAUCGUGCGUGGUCAGCUUGUUUGCCGUUUUUAAUUGGCCUUGAUGUCGGUUAGGAUGGAGGUUUUUGGAUUUUUUUGUUUUUGUGAUUUGUUCAAAGAAAUGAAGCAUAUGAAAUAGAUGGAGAUAGUGGACGAAAUAGAUGGGAAGGAAGACAUAUUUAUGCGUGGUCUUCUUGAGUAUUUUGUAACCAAAGAAUCACAAUUUGCAAAUUUGUUGACUGCUAAACUUUAGUGCGUGGGGUUGAAAGAUUAUUGUCAAUUGAAUUUAGUUAGAACUUAUAUACUGUAUGUUGUAUGUUUAGGAAUUGUGUUUGUAUAAUUUUUAUUUAUUUUUCACAGAGUGUUUGUAUAACUUUUUGAACUAAAGAGUUGCAAUUUUUUAUUUUGUAAUUAUAUACUUGUAAAUUUGGAUCUGUAGCUUUGUAAAUGUUGUAUAAUACUAUUGUUGUUAUUUAAAAAAAAUACCA